GAUGAACGCUGGCGGCGUGCCUAAUACAUGCAAGUCGAGCGGACAGGCGAGGAGCUUGCGUCUCGGAUGUUAGGGGCAGGCGGGUGAAUAACGCGAGUAUAACCUACCUGUAAGUCGGAGAUAACUUCGAGACACGGGAGCUAAUCCCGUAGAAUCUUUUGAACCACGGGGUGCAAAAGUAAGAGACGGUCGUGCGGGCACGUCUAGAGGGUUCCGCGCUGGAUUAGCUAGUUGGGAAGGUAAAGGCUUACGAAGGCAACGAUGCAUAACCGAGCUGACGGGGUGAUCGGCCACCCGGGAACGUAGCCACGGUCCAGACUCCUACGGGAGGCAGCAGUAGGGAACCUGCCGCAAUGGGCGAAAGCCUGACGGAGUGACGCCGCGCGAGUGACGAAGGCCUUCCGAGCGUAAAACCCUGUUACGAGGGAAGAACAGAUGUGGCAGGUAACGUGCCCUGCGUGACGGUACUUAAUAAGAAAGCCCCGGCUAACUACGUG
rnacentral:rRNA from 1 species